rnacentral:RNase_P_RNA from 1 species
ACAGACGACCGCCGCGUGUCCCGUCACCUGGUGACGUGGCACGGGGAGGAAAGUCCGAACUCCAGAGGGCAGUGCGCCGGGUAAUCCCCGGUCAGGGCGACCUGAAGGAAAGUGGCACAGAAAACAUACCGCCCGCAUUCGCUUGCUGCGCAAGCUUCGGCGGGCAGGCCCUUCGGGGCUUGCCCCGCCAGAGCCCGCAGGGCGACGGUGGGUAAGGGUGAAAAGGUGCGGUAAGAGCGCACCGCGUUUACCGCAAGGUGAAUGGCAGGCUAAACCCCGCACGGAGCAAGACCAAAUAGGGAGGCGCCAGAGGGCGGCCCGUCCGAAGCCUCCGGGUAGGUUGCUUGAUCCCGCCAGUGAUGGCGGGGCUAGAGGAAUGGUCGUCGCCUGAUGAGCCGCCUCGGGCGGGGAGUCGGGUACAGAAUUCGGCUUAUCGUCCCUCU